GCUGAUUGUUCGGAAAUUACAAUCGGUUACGCGUUCCGAAUUCUUAGCUCAAUCAAGAACAUGAUUGUCAUUCAUUACCACGUUUCAGUUACAAAUCAUUUCCAUACCUUACGAGAACUUCAAACGCUAUAAAUAUCGAGACUCUCAUCACCGAUUUUAACCCCACUUGAACCAUCCUCUAACUCAUACUAUCUCUGUUCAAUAACUCACCACCGGAGACAACGUCGACGGUAACCGGCAUCACGACGGAAGUUCACCGGAGAAGAAAGCUCAAGCCAAAACUUACGGAUCUUCGUUUCGAUGAUACGAACACGUCGGGACUCGAGAUUCACGUCGGAGUCUAACUCGUUCUUGGGCAUCCUCGUUCUUGUUCGGUUUCAAAAGAAGAACACGUCGGAGACGAUCGGGGUCACGACAAAGCCACGAUACGUUCCGAUCAUUAUGUGAUAUUGGAAAAUAUAGGAUAACCUCUCUUGUUCGUCCUCUUGGAAUUCUCCAUUCUUACUCGUGCGUUACUUACAAGAAAUCGCAACGCAACCACUGUGUUUGAAUGCUUUGGAUGCUUGCUUGCUUAUCGUGGAAUCAAGUAGGAUCGAGAGUCUAGAAACAAAGACAAUUUACCUUAUUUUUAUUUUAAAUCUGAGUUGUCGGAACAUGUUAUUUGACUAUGAGAUAUCGUUGUCUAUAAUAA